ACUAACGCUGGCGGCGUGCUUAACACAUGCAAGUCGAACGGUGAAGCGCCUUCCUUUUUGGUGGGUGUGGUUGAGUGGCGAACGGGUGAGUAACACGUGAGUAACCUGCCCCCUUCUUCUGGAUAACCGCAUGAAAGUUUGGCUAAUUCGGGAUAUUCUGGUUCUGUCGCAUGCUGGGUCUGGGCAAGAUUUUGUUUCGGUGGUGGAUGGGCUCGCGGCCUAUCAGCUUGUUGGUGGGGUGAUGGCCUACCCAGGCGGUGACGGGUAGCCGGCCUGAGAGGAUGGACGGUCACACUGGGACUGAGACACGGACCAGACUCCGACGGGAGGCAGCAGGGGAGAAUAUUGCACAAUGGGCGGAAGCAUGAUGCAGCGACGCCGCGGGAGGGAUGGAGGCCUUCGGGUUGUGAACCUCUUUCGGGAGAGAAGCAGGGCUGCCUAGUUUGUGGGUGGGUUGACGGUAGCUGGAUAAGAAGCGCCGGCUAACUACGUG
rnacentral:rRNA from 1 species